UUUUUCUUUCUUCACCGCAGCUCGCUUCUUCUCUUCUCAUCUGCUUGUGCUUCUUUCGCUUCCGUAUUCUGCUUCUGCUUGUUGGGAGAGUCUCCACGGAUGUUAACUUGCUUCACCAAACACAGCAUCAAUCAAGGUAUGUGUUUAAUAAUGUAUGAUUGUUGACUUUGCUUUUGUGGUGACUUGGAAAAAAAGAAGAUCAAUUACAGGCAAUAUAUAUGUUUAGUUUACUCAUUUAAGUGGAAUUCAGAGCUUCAUUCCAUGACAAACCAUCUAUGAAUCGGAUGGUUAUACCUCUCUGCUUUCUUUACAAGGGCUAGGGUUCGGGUCACGUGGCUCCAGUUUAGGUUUCUUUGGUAAUGUGCCGAGCUGUGUGCUCCUUCUGAUGGUGUUGAAGGAAAAAAAUCUUUUGUGGGAUGACAACUCUUAACUGGAAUGUGAAUACAUACGUCAUUACAAAUUUUAACCUGUAUGGGCACAAGGACAACACAUGGGAUCUUCACAAAUUCUUCAUCCGAUAUUCAAACAUUCUCCUACUUUAGGAUUUGUAUGGAGUUUCCCUUCUUGUUGCUAAUGCAUUUCUCUGGAGUUCUCCAGAUAUUUACGAUCAAUGUCGUUGUGCUCUGCCAUAUUUCUCUUCAGUUGUCUGUUAUUGAUGUGAAAAUAGCUGUAAGGAUGCAUAUAUAGUUUGCAAAAAAGAUCCAGAUGUUGUCUGAUGGAUCAAUGAUGGUUGUUGGGUUUCUUUUGAACUUACUCUGCCCCAAAUCUAGUCAUUUUCAAGUUUCUGUUCCAGAUUAUUUUUUUCUUCUUACCAAGUAACUGUCAGUAAAUGUUCUUUUAUUCCUUCUAAGGUUGCAUUUGGUUGCUUUUGGGUUACUUUCCAAAAAGAAUUGACUAAGAAAUGAAUAGGAAAUAAACCAAACACAACGUAAUAUUACUUGGAGAACAACUUUACAAAUCUAUAUAUAUAGUUGCCUUACAUAGUUAGCUACAACAGACAUAGAACAGAUGGG
rnacentral:lncRNA from 1 species